ACGGGGAAAUCCGAUAACAUUAAAACUCCCACUUGUUCAUCAAUGCAAAGUCGCUCAAAUCCAACCGUUGAUCUCAGCAAAUUAAAGAGUCGAAAGUAAUAUCAAAAUAUCGUGGCUGAGCGAGCUUUUAAGCAAGAGCUACAUAUAUCAUGUACAUACGAUCGGACUCAUUGAAGCGAUAAGUGCACAAACUAGAAGAGAAACAAAGAAAAAUUGUAUCAUAAAGCCACGCCAUAUUACAUCUGCUUGUCGAUCUCCCAAAUGACCCUUCCAUCCUCUGCAAUGUCAACGGAAAAUAUGUGUCAUUUCAUGAGACGUGUGUAUGGUAGAGGGAAAGAUCAACUCGCUAGACAGACAAUAAGUAUGAACAUAGGAUCACAGGUUAUAUAUCCUAGACUACUUCGAGCAAGUGAAAGCAAAACAUAUUCCAAAGAAUGAGCCAUAUACAUUAGCACCAAAGCAAAUUCAUGUCAUUCUUCAUCAAAACUAAGCAGUGUCCUGUAACAUUCCACGAAAAUUGCACCACGAAGCCUUGACAUGGAGUCCAAAAACUUUACCAUACCUAUUUGCAUUUCUUACAUGAAUUUGGGUCUUGCAGUGUAACUUUCCAUGAUUUUUCUUACCAGAGUACAGUGAAAAUGUCAGGCUUGCAUUAUAGGGUGCCACUGAGGAUCAUCCAGUCACUGCCGUCCUCACUGUUGUUUGGAGCCAUAAAGGUGACAUCCAUUAAGAAGUACAUGUCGAACACGAGCACCCACAGCCACGGAUCCAAGUGUAACCUCCGCUUGGCUUUCGCCACCACAUUGAUGGUGACUGCCCUGCCCUUCAACGAGCGUACCAAGCCCUUAAUGCCCAAGUCAUUAACAAGCGGCAGCAUCGAUAGGGCCUCUACUUGGACAAUGGUGAUGUUGUGGGGGCCCUAAGCGAAGGAUGGAAUGUGCAAGGGACGAGAGAGAGCGAGUUCACCUCCGAAUCUCAAGAGCAGCUUCAUGCGGGUGUACUUAACAGCGAUGAGCUUACUGGGAUUCUUGACGGAGAGACCGAUGUUCCAUUGGGUGGCAACAUGGGUGGCGAAGAUGUUGAGCGACGAAAGGGAAGAGCCCAAGUCGAGCUAGAACUCUGGGGGCAUUAGGGUAGGUAUGGCUAAGAAGAUGACCAUGAGGAGGCCGAGAACAAUGGGUAUGGCAAAUGUUAUACAGUGGCUGAUAAUCAACUUGUACCUGCCGAGCAGGGGUAUGGGUGGAGGUGGCACCUAUGAAGGUGACGGUGGCUUGUUAUUCGCGACAGGUGGAAUGGCUCAGAGGGUUGUCAUUUGGAAAUUGUGUUGGGUGCUCUUAUUGUUCUAUAAGGAUUUCUGUGUGAAGUUUUGUGCCCACACAGAAAAUUUUAAGGGGGUGGAAACUGGAAAGGUAUUGCUAAUAUUUAAAGAUCAUAAAAAAUGAAUGCAUAGAUCCUCUCUCUAACGUUGACUCCCUUUCCUCUAAGCAUUAGACCAUUUCCUCUCUCUCUUCCCAUUAGAUUGGGGCAAUCAUUUUCAAAAUCUGUCACCCAAUCAUUUCUUUUUUCAAAACAAGUCAUCUCCUUUAUGGCCCCAUUCCAACGUUAGGGAUAGUGAAUCAAGGAUUUCAAGUCCGUCCGUUCUAGACUUCUGGCCCAUCAGAGACAACAAAUCAGGAUGUCACACCUACAAAAUCGAGUGCGUGUUUUGGCUUUACAUGAGGGUCUUGUGAGAAAGGCAGCAAUUUUCUAUUCUCUUUUCUCUUCUCUUUGCUUGUUGUCAAAAAAGAAGACAGCAAUUUCAAAAAGGGGCCAUUGGCACUGUCCCUGGAGUGCUGGAAGUUGGAGUUAGAAAAUGUAACAAGAGGCUUCGCAAGAUUCUAUCGAGAAAUUACGCGGCGCGUGAAAGCUAAAACUUGGGGAAUCUUGCGAAGCCCCGCGUUACAUUUUCUAACCCCAACUUCCAGCACUCUGGGGAUAGCGCCAAUGACCCCUUUUUGAAAUUGUUGUCUUCUUUUUCGACAAGCAGCAAAGAGAAGGGAAAAGAGAAUAGAAAAUUGCUGCCUUUCUCACAAGAUCCUCAUGUAAAGCCAAAACACGCACUCAAUUUUGCAGGUCUGACAUCCCAAUUUGCUGUCUUUGAUGGGCCAAAAGUCUAGAAUGGACGGACUUGAAAUCCUUGAUUUCCUAUCCCUAAUGUCAGAAUGGGGCCAUAAAGGAGAUGACUUGUUUUGAAAAGAAAAAUGAUUGGGUGACAGAUUUUGAAAAUGAUUGCCCCGAUCUAAUAGGAAGAGAGAGGAAAUUGUCUAAUGCUUAGAGGAAAGGGAGUCAACGUUAGAGAGAGGAUCUAUGCAUUCAUUUUUAUGGUCUUUAAAUAUUAGCAAUACCUUUCCAGUUCCACGCCCCCUUAAAAUUUGCUACGUGAGCACAAAACUUCACACAGAAAUGCUUACACAACAAUAAGAGCACUCAGCACAAAAUUUCCAAAUGACAACCCUCCAAGCCAUUCCACCCACCGCGAAUAAUAAGCCAGCGUCACCUUCACAAGUGCCACCCCCACCCAUACCCCUGCCCGACAAGUACAAGCUGAUUAUCGGCCACUGUAUAACAUUUGCCAUACCCACUGUUCUCAGCCUCCUCAUGGUCAUCUUCCUAGCCAUACCUACCCUAAUGCCCUCGGAGUUCUGGCUCAACUCAGCUCUUCCCUUUCGUCGCUCAACAUCUUCGCCACCCACAUCACCGCCCAAUGGAACAUCAGUCUCUCCGUCAAGAAUCCCGGUAAGCUCAUCAUUGUCAAGUACACCCGCAUGAAGCUCCUCUUGAGCUUCAGAGGCAAACUCGCUCUCUCUCGUCCCUUGCACAUUCCAACCUUCACUCAAGGCCCCCACAACAUCACCAUUGUCCGAGCAAAGGCCCUGCCGAUGCUGCCGCUCAUUAAUGACUUGGGCAUUAAGGGCCCGGUGCGCUCGUUGAAGGGCAAGGCAGUGAUCAUCAACGUGGUGGCGAAAGCCAAGCGGAGGCUGCACUUGGGUCCGUGGCUAUCGGUGCCCGUGUUCGACAUGUACUUCUUAAUGGAUGUCACUCUUAUGGCUCCAAACAACAGUGAGGACGGCAGUGACAUCGGUGGCACCCUACAAUGCAAGCCCGACAUCUUCACUGUACUCUAGUAAGAAAAAUCAUGGAAAGAUUACACUGACCCAAAUUCAUGUAAGAAAUGCAAAAAGGUCUAGUAAAGUUUUUGGACUCCAUGUCAAGGCCUCGUGGUGUAAUUUUCGUGGAAAGUUACAGGACACUAUUUAGUUUUGAUGAAGAAUGACAUGGAUUUGCUUUGGUGCUGAUGUAUAUGGCUCAUUCUUUGGGAAUAUGUAUUGCUUUCACGUGCUCGAAGUAGUCUAGGAUAUAUAACCUGUGAUCCUAUGUAUCAUACUUUGUCUGUCUAGCGAGCUGAUCUUUCCCUCUGCCAUAUACACGUCUCAUGAAAUGGCACAUUUUCCAUUGACAUUGCAGAGGAUGGAAGGGUCAUUUGGGAGAUCAACAGGUAGAUGCAAUAUGGCGUGGCUUUUUGAUAUUACUUUCGACUCUUUAAUUUGGCUGAGAUCAACGGCUGGAUUUGAGCGACUUUGCAUCGAUGAACAAGUGGGAGUUUUAAUGUUAUCAGAUUUCCCCAUGCACGAUGAUUCAUCUGUGUCAUGACCUAACCCCUCUCACGGGAGAGGGAGCUUAUUAGGUUUAGGGAUAUUGUCAACUUCGGCCCAACGGCCUUCCAUUGGCUUGGACUUUUCCAAGUCCAUACCUCAUGCAACAUGCUUUCAAAUUUUUAAUCAUUUAAGUUUAUGUAAAUUUUAAGUAAAGAGUCGCCACUAGCUUUUUUGACUAGAAACCCAGUAAGAUACGGAAAGGUAUCCCACUAGUUACGCAACCAGAGAUUUUAAACUCGGGAAUUGAUUACGUUAGCCCUGAGGCUAACGUCCUUUCGGUACCUAACCUAAUCAUGUACGCUAGCAUCCUAAAUUGUCUCUAAAAAAGAAAAUAAGACAAAGCAAAACAAGAAUCCAUUUUGUAAAGCCCUAAAGACUUAUCUAAUUUUAGGUUUUAGUUCUUUAAAGGGUUUUCUAAUAUAUAUAUAUAUAUAUAACCGGACAGGAUUUACCUGAUUCCCGGUCCGGCCCACCUGGAAAACAGGGUCGGGAACCGGUUCUGGUUGAAACCGGUCCAGGAAUCGGUUCCCAAACCUGAGACCCUAUUUGAACCGGUCUGGGAACCGAUUCCGAGGGUUUACCCACUCGGGAACCAAAUCGACCAGACCAGUUUGGGAACCGAUUGGAGGAUCGGUUUGUAAGCCCCCCAAAAAGACCAAAACCCUAAUUUCUACUUUCUAUCUUUACCGGCUUCCUCUCCUCCCGCGACACCCGCAGACGGCAGCUUGCAACCUCCGCCCGUCCGGCGUCCGCCGAUCCUGGUUCUGCUCGCCCACCAUCGCCCCCCGAAAUUGUGACACCGCGUUUGUCAACCCGGUUCCUAGCUGCUUGCCAACCUUGCUCCGAGCUCCCCUCCCGAAAUCGCGAAGCCAAUGCUGCCUCUGCCACUCUUGUCGCACCCCUCGCGGUCGCACCACCGCCGCCGUUCCGCCGGUCAUCUAAAGGUGAGUUGCUCUGGGUGUUUACAUAUGAGUGUUGUAUAGUAAUUAUUUUGCAAAACAGAUUCCAAUAUAAACAGGGUUAACCCUGUUCCCGGACCAGAAAAACAGUGUGGGUUGAGAACAGGGUCCAAUGCAAACAGAGUCAAGUACAGGGUCCAAAAAAAUAGAACCGGUUAUAACAGGGUCAGGUACAAAGUCCAGGUCUAGACCCUACCCAUCUUGGACCCAAUCACCCCUAAUAUAUAUAACAAAUUUUCCGAUUUUUUUACUUUUUUAUGCUCCAAAUUUUUUAAAUAUUUUUCCAAUUUUUUUAAUUGUUAAUGACUUUUCCAGAUUUUUUAAAUUCUUAAUGAUUUUCUAAAAUUCCAUUUAUUAUUAUUAUUAUUAUUAUUAUUAUUAUUAUUAUUAUUAUUAUUAUUAUUAUUAUUAUUAUUAUUAUUAUUUGAAUUUGCUAUUUUUUUUUGUUAUUUCCUCAAGUUUUAGAAUUUUUUUAUCAUCUUCCGAAUUUUUAUUUUUUUAAUAUCUUUUCGAUCCAAAUCCGUUAUAAGGAAAAGAAAAUUUUCAAUUUUUAGUUUUUUUAAUGAUUUUUCUAUCUUUUCUUCAUUUUUCUCUUUUGUCUUCUUCUUUGUUUUGUCUUUUCCCCCCGCACCAUCUUCUUCCUCCAGCUGUCUUCUUCCCGAAGCUUUCCUCACCCCUUCAACUUCAUCUUCAUUCAGCCAUUUAACCCAAACCAUAAACUCAAGGCAAUACCAUCUUCCACCUUAUUUUUUUUAUUUUCACCGAUAUGUAAAUCGCUGCCGAGCCACCACCAAUCAGUGAUCACUUGUUUUGACCGACGGCCACCAACUCUAGCCACUCCCGACGACCACAACCAUGAAAAAAAAAAAAAAUUAUCCAAAACUAAUGUCCCUUCCAUCCUAGCCUUUGUAACAAACAAACAAUCCCCGAUACACUACAAAGCGAAAAGAUAAACUGACUGGGAUGGCUUGAACCAUAAACUUUGCCGGCGAAAGGGGAGGUCUCCGACGAACAACCUUCAGGUAUGGGAAUAUGCAUACACGUUGAACUUGAACCCGGAUUUUCACUAAAUCGCAUGAGAACACAACAAAAACACAAAUGUCGACAGGAUCCAACUGAUGCAGAACACAAAUGUCAACAGGAUCCAACCGAUGUAGAAGCAAACACAAAUCGAUAUUAAAGUUCAAUGAAAAACGAGGUUCAGCCUUCUUUCAAGCAUAUUAUCAAGCACGUGCAAGUUCCCAUUCCGAUUCGGUUUUAGCAUCGUUCUCAGCAACCAGUGCAGGCUCCGAACACCAUCAUUAGCGACCAAAUAGCCUCGUUUCCUCAAGAUCUCCCCAAAAGCAGCAAUUGAUUCAUGGAAAUUUUUUUGGCCUUUUUUAGACAUUUUAGCAAACUUAUAACGUACACUUUAGUAGGCAAACUACAGAUAUGUGUUCAUGGCCGAAUGAUGUUCAAUCUCAACGUAUAGAAGCAUGAAUCAGCAUUCUCGGUCAUAGAUCGAUUUCAUUUCUAUAGAGGGUAUCCACGACCUCGAAGAACAAACCUCGGAUUUCAGUUAGUAAAAAUUUAAAAAAUUAAAAAAAAAAAAAUAAACGGCAUUAAGGAGUUAGCUCUUGCCUGUUUCAGAGAUGGAACCGUUGCAGCUGCCGUACAAACGCCCAAUGACCUUCUUUCUCAUCUGAGGAUCGAACCUGCGGCCUCCACCUAGCCGUGGACAGCAAAGGAGUUCGGCAGCCGUGCGCCGACUUCUCUGGCGAUCUUCCUUCCUCAGCCUCUCAAGACCUCUUUCUCCUUCUAGCUAGGAAGUCUGGUCUUUUAUUGAAAAAAUUCUUAGAAAGAACUCUCCUCUCGCUCGCGUGCGAGAGGGAAAGAGAAGAGCCGAAGGCUCGGCCUUCGUUGCUCUCUUCUCGAGCCUUCGGCUCUCUUCUUGGGGAGCCUUCGUUGAAGCGUCUCGCUCGCGUGCGAGAGGGAAAGAGGAGAGCAACGAAGGCUUCUCGAGCCUUCGGC
rnacentral:lncRNA from 1 species